rnacentral:rRNA from 1 species
UUAAGCGACUAAGCGUACACGGUGGAUGCCCUGGCAGUCAGAGGCGAUGAAGGACGUGCUAAUCUGCGAAAAGCGUCGGUAAGGUGAUAUGAACCGUUACAGCCGGCGAUGUCCGAAUGGGGAAACCCAGUGCAAUUCGUUGCACUAUCGUUAACUGAAUACAUAGGUUAACGAGGCGAACCGGGGGAACUGAAACAUCUAAGUACCCCGAGGAAAAGAAAUCAACCGAGAUUCCCCCAGUAGCGGCGAGCGAACGGGGAGCAGCCCAGAGUCUGAAUCAGCUUGUGUGUUAGUGGAACGGUCUGGAAAGUCCGACGGUACAGGGUGAUAGUCCCGUACACCAAAAUGCACAGGCUGUGAACUCGAAGAGUAGGGCGGGACACGUGGUAUCCUGUCUGAAUAUGGGGGGACCAUCCUCCAAGGCUAAAUACUCCUGACUGACCGAUAGUGAACCAGUACCGUGAGGGAAAGGCGAAAAGAACCCCGGCGAGGGGAGUGAAAAAGAACCUGAAACCGUGUACGUACAAGCAGUGGGAGCACCUUCGGGUGUGACUGCGUACCUUUUGUAUAAUGGGUCAGCGACUUAUAUUCUGUAGCAAGGUUAACCGUAUAGGGGAGCCGCAGGGAAACCGAGUCUUAACUGGGCGUUAAGUUGCAGGGUAUAGACCCGAAACCCGGUGAUCUAGCCAUGGGCAGGUUGAAGGUUGGGUAACACUAACUGGAGGACCGAACCGACUAAUGUUGAAAAAUUAGCGGAUGACUUGUGGCUGGGGGUGAAAGGCCAAUCAAACCGGGAGAUAGCUGGUUCUCCCCGAAAGCUAUUUAGGUAGCGCCUCGUGAACUCAUCUUCGGGGGUAGAGCACUGUUUCGGCUAGGGGGUCAUCCCGACUUACCAACCCGAUGCAAACUACGAAUACCGAAGAAUGUUAUCACGGGAGACACACGGCGGGUGCUAACGUCCGUCGUGAAGAGGGAAACAACCCAGACCGCCAGCUAAGGUCCCAAAGUCAUGGUUAAGUGGGAAACGAUGUGGGAAGGCACAGACAGCCAGGAUGUUGGCUUAGAAGCAGCCAUCAUUUAAAGAAAGCGUAAUAGCUCACUGGUCGAGUCGGCCUGCGCGGAAGAUGUAACGGGGCUAAACCAUGCACCGAAGCUGCGGCAGCGACACUAUGUGUUGUUGGGUAGGGGAGCGUUCUGUAAGCCUGCGAAGGUGUGCUGUGAGGCAUGCUGGAGGUAUCAGAAGUGCGAAUGCUGACAUAAGUAACGAUAAAGCGGGUGAAAAGCCCGCUCGCCGGAAGACCAAGGGUUCCUGUCCAACGUUAAUCGGGGCAGGGUGAGUCGACCCCUAAGGCGAGGCCGAAAGGCGUAGUCGAUGGGAAACAGGUUAAUAUUCCUGUACUUGGUGUUACUGCGAAGGGGGGACGGAGAAGGCUAUGUUAGCCGGGCGACGGUUGUCCCGGUUUAAGCAUGUAGGCUGGUUAUCCAGGCAAAUCCGGAUAAUCAAGGCUGAGGUGUGAUGACGAGGCACUACGGUGCUGAAGUAACAAAUGCCCUGCUUCCAGGAAAAGCCUCUAAGCAUCAGGUAACAUCAAAUCGUACCCCAAACCGACACAGGUGGUCAGGUAGAGAAUACCAAGGCGCUUGAGAGAACUCGGGUGAAGGAACUAGGCAAAAUGGUGCCGUAACUUCGGGAGAAGGCACGCUGGUGUGUAGGUGAAGUCCCUGCGGAUGGAGCUGAGACCAGUCGAAGAUACCAGCUGGCUGCAACUGUUUAUUAAAAACACAGCACUGUGCAAACACGAAAGUGGACGUAUACGGUGUGACGCCUGCCCGGUGCCGGAAGGUUAAUUGAUGGGGUUAUCCGUAAGGAGAAGCUCUUGAUCGAAGCCCCGGUAAACGGCGGCCGUAACUAUAACGGUCCUAAGGUAGCGAAAUUCCUUGUCGGGUAAGUUCCGACCUGCACGAAUGGCGUAAUGAUGGCCAGGCUGUCUCCACCCGAGACUCAGUGAAAUUGAACUCGCUGUGAAGAUGCAGUGUACCCGCGGCAAGACGGAAAGACCCCGUGAACCUUUACUAUAGCUUGACACUGAACAUUGAGCCUUGAUGUGUAGGAUAGGUGGGAGGCUUUGAAGCGUGGACGCCAGUCUGCGUGGAGCCAACCUUGAAAUACCACCCUUUAAUGUUUGAUGUUCUAACGUUGGCCCCUGACCGGGGUUGCGGACAGUGUCUGGUGGGUAGUUUGACUGGGGCGGUCUCCUCCCAAAGCGUAACGGAGGAGCACGAAGGUUAGCUAAUCCUGGUCGGACAUCAGGAGGUUAGUGCAAUGGCAUAAGCUAGCUUGACUGCGAGCGUGACGGCGCGAGCAGGUGCGAAAGCAGGUCAUAGUGAUCCGGUGGUUCUGAAUGGAAGGGCCAUCGCUCAACGGAUAAAAGGUACUCCGGGGAUAACAGGCUGAUACCGCCCAAGAGUUCAUAUCGACGGCGGUGUUUGGCACCUCGAUGUCGGCUCAUCACAUCCUGGGGCUGAAGUAGGUCCCAAGGGUAUGGCUGUUCGCCAUUUAAAGUGGUACGCGAGCUGGGUUUAGAACGUCGUGAGACAGUUCGGUCCCUAUCUGCCGUGGGCGCUGGAGAAUUGAGGGGGGCUGCUCCUAGUACGAGAGGACCGGAGUGGACGCAUCACUGGUGUUCGGGUUGUCAUGCCAAUGGCACUGCCCGGUAGCUAAAUGCGGAAGAGAUAAGUGCUGAAAGCAUCUAAGCACGAAACUUGCCCCGAGAUGAGUUCUCCCUGAGACUUUAAGUCUCCUGAAGGAACGUUGAAGACGACGACGUUGAUAGGCCGGGUGUGUAAGCGCAGCGAUGCGUUGAGCUAACCGGUACUAAUGAACCGUGAGGCUUAACCU